GGGCCCGCACAAGCGGUGGAGUAUGUGGUUUAAUUCGAUGCAACGCGAAGAACCUUACCAGGGUUUGACAUCCUGCGAAUCUCUUGGAAACGAGAGAGUGCCUUCGGGAACGCAGUGACAGGUGGUGCAUGGCUGUCGUCAGCUCGUGUCGUGAGAUGUUGGGUUAAGUCCCGCAACGAGCGCAACCCACGUCGUUAGUUGCCAGCAUUUAGUUGGGCACUCUAGCGAGACCGCCGGUGAUAAACCGGAGGAAGGUGUGGAUGACGUCAAGUCAUCAUGCCCCUUACAUCCUGGGCUACACACGUACUACAAUGCUACGGACAAAGGGCAGCAAACUCGCGAGAGCUAGCAAAUCCCAUAAACCGUGGCUCAGUUCAGAUCGUAGGCUGCAACUCGCCUACGUG
rnacentral:rRNA from 1 species